UACGUAGGGUGCAAGCGUUGUCCGGAAUUAUUGGGCGUAAAGAGCUUGUAGGCGGUUUGUCGCGUCUGCCGUGAAAGCCCAGGGCUUAACCCUGGGUCUGCGGUGGGUACGGGCAGACUAGAGUGUGGUAGGGGAGACUGGAAUUCCUGGUGUAGCGGUGAAAUGCGCAGAUAUCAGGAGGAACACCAACAGCGAAGGCAGAUCUCUGGGACGUUACUGACGCUGAGACGCGAAAGCGUGGGGAGCAAACAGG
rnacentral:rRNA from 1 species